rnacentral:rRNA from 1 species
AACGUACGCUGGCGGCACGCCUAACACAUGCAAGUCGAACGGAGUAGCAAUACUGAGUGGCCGACAGGUGAGUAACAUGUGGGAAUCUGACUUGUGGUUCAGGACAACAUUGGGAAACUGAUGCUAAUACAGGAUAAGCCCUUACGGGGAAAGUUUUAUUGCCAUAAGAUGAGCCCGCAUUUUAUUAGUUAGUUGGUGAGGUAAUGGCUCACCAAGACAAUGAUCAAUAGCUGAUCUGAGAGGAUGACCAGACACACUGGGACUGAGACGCGGCCCAAACUCCUACGGGAGGCAGCAGUGGGGAAUCUUGCACAAUGGAGGAAACUCUGAUGCAGCGAUGCCGCGUGAGUGAAGAAGGCCUUUGGGUUGUAAAGCUCUUUUGUAGGGUAAGAUAAUGACUGUACCCUAAGAAUAAGGUCCGGCUAACUUCGUGCCAGCAGCCGCCGUAA